UUAAGCGACUAAGCGUACACGGUGGAUGCCCUGGCAGUCAGAGGCGAUGAAGGACGUGCUAAUCUGCGAAAAGCGUCGGUAAGGUGAUAUGAACCGUUAUAACCGGCGAUGUCCGAAUGGGGAAACCCAGUGCAAUUCGUUGCACUAUCGUUAACUGAAUACAUAGGUUAACGAGGCGAACCGGGGGAACUGAAACAUCUAAGUACCCCGAGGAAAAGAAAUCAACCGAGAUUCCCCCAGUAGCGGCGAGCGAACGGGGAGCAGCCCAGAGUCUGAAUCAGCUUGUGUGUUAGUGGAACGGUCUGGAAAGUCCGACGGUACAGGGUGAUAGUCCCGUACACCAAAAUGCACAGGUUGUGAACUCGAAGAGUAGGGCGGGACACGUGGUAUCCUGUCUGAAUAUGGGGGGACCAUCCUCCAAGGCUAAAUACUCCUGACUGACCGAUAGUGAACCAGUACCGUGAGGGAAAGGCGAAAAGAACCCCGGCGAGGGGAGUGAAAAAGAACCUGAAACCGUGUACGUACAAGCAGUGGGAGCACCUUCGGGUGUGACUGCGUACCUUUUGUAUAAUGGGUCAGCGACUUAUAUUCUGUAGCAAGGUUAACCGUAUAGGGGAGCCGCAGGGAAACCGAGUCUUAACUGGGCGUUAAGUUGCAGGGUAUAGACCCGAAACCCGGUGAUCUAGCCAUGGGCAGGUUGAAGGUUGGGUAACACUAACUGGAGGACCGAACCGACUAAUGUUGAAAAAUUAGCGGAUGACUUGUGGCUGGGGGUGAAAGGCCAAUCAAACCGGGAGAUAGCUGGUUCUCCCCGAAAGCUAUUUAGGUAGCGCCUCGUGAACUCAUCUUCGGGGGUAGAGCACUGUUUCGGCUAGGGGGUCAUCCCGACUUACCAACCCGAUGCAAACUACGAAUACCGAAGAAUGUUAUCACGGGAGACACACGGCGGGUGCUAACGUCCGUCGUGAAGAGGGAAACAACCCAGACCGCCAGCUAAGGUCCCAAAGUCAUGGUUAAGUGGGAAACGAUGUGGGAAGGCACAGACAGCCAGGAUGUUGGCUUAGAAGCAGCCAUCAUUUAAAGAAAGCGUAAUAGCUCACUGGUCGAGUCGGCCUGCGCGGAAGAUGUAACGGGGCUAAACCAUGCACCGAAGCUGCGGCAGCGACACGAUGUGUUGUUGGGUAGGGGAGCGUUCUGUAAGCCUGCGAAGGUGGCCUGUGAGGGUUGCUGGAGGUAUCAGAAGUGCGAAUGCUGACAUAAGUAACGAUAAAGCGGGUGAAAAGCCCGCUCGCCGGAAGACCAAGGGUUCCUGUCCAACGUUAAUCGGGGCAGGGUGAGUCGACCCCUAAGGCGAGGCCGAAAGGCGUAGUCGAUGGGAAACAGGUUAAUAUUCCUGUACUUGGUGUUACUGCGAAGGGGGGACGGAGAAGGCUAUGUUAGCCGGGCGACGGUUGUCCCGGUUUAAGCAUGUAGGCUGGUUAUCCAGGCAAAUCCGGAUAAUCAAGGCUGAGGUGUGAUGACGAGGCACUACGGUGCUGAAGUAACAAAUGCCCUGCUUCCAGGAAAAGCCUCUAAGCAUCAGGUAACACGAAAUCGUACCCCAAACCGACACAGGUGGUCAGGUAGAGAAUACCAAGGCGCUUGAGAGAACUCGGGUGAAGGAACUAGGCAAAAUGGUGCCGUAACUUCGGGAGAAGGCACGCUGGUGUGUAGGUGAAGCCCCUGCGGGUGGAGCUGAGACCAGUCGAAGAUACCAGCUGGCUGCAACUGUUUAUUAAAAACACAGCACUGUGCAAACACGAAAGUGGACGUAUACGGUGUGACGCCUGCCCGGUGCCGGAAGGUUAAUUGAUGGGGUUAUCCGUAAGGAGAAGCUCUUGAUCGAAGCCCCGGUAAACGGCGGCCGUAACUAUAACGGUCCUAAGGUAGCGAAAUUCCUUGUCGGGUAAGUUCCGACCUGCACGAAUGGCGUAAUGAUGGCCAGGCUGUCUCCACCCGAGACUCAGUGAAAUUGAACUCGCUGUGAAGAUGCAGUGUACCCGCGGCAAGACGGAAAGACCCCGUGAACCUUUACUAUAGCUUGACACUGAACAUUGAGCCUUGAUGUGUAGGAUAGGUGGGAGGCUUUGAAGCGUGGACGCCAGUCUGCGUGGAGCCAACCUUGAAAUACCACCCUUUAAUGUUUGAUGUUCUAACGUUGGCCCCUUAUCGGGGUUGCGGACAGUGUCUGGUGGGUAGUUUGACUGGGGCGGUCUCCUCCCAAAGCGUAACGGAGGAGCACGAAGGUUAGCUAAUCCUGGUCGGACAUCAGGAGGUUAGUGCAAUGGCAUAAGCUAGCUUGACUGCGAGCGUGACGGCGCGAGCAGGUGCGAAAGCAGGUCAUAGUGAUCCGGUGGUUCUGAAUGGAAGGGCCAUCGCUCAACGGAUAAAAGGUACUCCGGGGAUAACAGGCUGAUACCGCCCAAGAGUUCAUAUCGACGGCGGUGUUUGGCACCUCGAUGUCGGCUCAUCACAUCCUGGGGCUGAAGUAGGUCCCAAGGGUAUGGCUGUUCGCCAUUUAAAGUGGUACGCGAGCUGGGUUUAGAACGUCGUGAGACAGUUCGGUCCCUAUCUGCCGUGGGCGCUGGAGAAUUGAGGGGGGCUGCUCCUAGUACGAGAGGACCGGAGUGGACGCAUCACUGGUGUUCGGGUUGUCAUGCCAAUGGCACUGCCCGGUAGCUAAAUGCGGAAGAGAUAAGUGCUGAAAGCAUCUAAGCACGAAACUUGCCCCGAGAUGAGUUCUCCCUGAGACUUUAAGUCUCCUGAAGGAACGUUAAAGACGAUGACGUUGAUAGGCCGGGUGUGUAAGCGCAGCGAUGCGUUGAGCUAACCGGUACUAAUGAACCGUGAGGCUUAACCUU
rnacentral:rRNA from 1 species